rnacentral:rRNA from 1 species
UACGGAGGAUGCAAGCGUUAUCCGGAAUCAUUGGGCGUAAAGCGUCCGUAGGUGGCUCAACAAGUCUGCAGUGAAAGCACAGGGCUUAACCUUGUAUCGGCUGUGGAAACUGUUGCAGCUAGAGUGCGGUAGGGGUAGAGGGAAUUCCCAGUGUAGCGGUGAAAUGCGUAGAGAUUGGGAAGAACACCGGUGGCGAAAGCGCUCUACUGGGCCUGCACUGACACUGAGGGACGAAAGCGAGGGGAGCGAAAGGG